ensembl:lncRNA
CCUGGACCCUAGGCUACUGAAAAUGUUCCCGGACCCUAGGCUACUGAAAAUGUUCCCGGACCCUAGGCUACUGAAAAUGUUCCCUGACCCUAGGCUACUGAAAAUGUUCCCGGACCCUCGGCUACUGAAAAUGUUCCCAGACCCUAGGCUACUGAAAAGGUUCCCAGACCCUAGGCUACUGAAAAUGUUCCCAGACCCUAGGCUACUGAAAAUGUUCCCAGACCCUAGGCUACUGAAAAUGUUCCCAGACCCUAGGCUACUGAAAAUGUUCCCAGACCCUAGGCUACUGAAAAUGUUCCCAGACCCUAGGCUACUGAAAAGGCUACUGAAAAUGUUCCCAGACCCUCGGCUACUGAAAAUGUUCCCUGACCCUAGGCUACUGAAAAUGUUCCCGGACCCUAGGCUACUGAAAAUGUUCCCCGGACCCUCCCGAUUUACAAAUUAAUCAGUGUGUGUGUGUGUGUGUGUGUGUGUGUGUGUGUGUGUGUGUGUGUGUGUGUGUGUGUGUGUGUGUGUGUGUGUGUGUGUGUGUGUGUGUGUGUGUGUGUGUGUGUGUGUUUGUCUAAGAAACAACUUCCUGCUAUGAAAAAGGGUGAAAGGUCACAAACCACGGUUUGGGCAGAUUAGAAGUGUUGGGUCCUUCCUGGUAUGAAAAAGGGUGAAAGGUCACAAACCCGGGUUUGGGCAGAAUAGAAGCGUUGGUUUCUAUUAUUGAUGUUACUAUGUGGACCGGACUGGGUCUGUGUUUUUAUU